rnacentral:misc_RNA from 1 species
GUAAGUGUUAUAUAAAUUUUUCUACAAAAAUUAAUAAUUAGGUACCUGCCAAACAAAUAACCAAAAAAAUACUUCUACAUUUGUGUCGUAAUACAACCACGGUGGUACCACAUUCUUUUUCAAGAAAAUUAAUCGAAAGGCAAGACGUAAAUGUAAUAUAAUAAUAGUGGAUGUCAUUGUCCAUGUUAUUAGAGCAGUUGGACGACUAGGCAACAUUGACAAAUAGCCAGAGAUAAUUUUAGUAAGGCUAUCGACUUCCCUUGAACUCCCGUCAAAUGAACCAAAAAAUGUAAUGCAGAAUAUUAAAACUUAAAUUGGCCGUAAAAUUUUCAUGAAGAUUAUAUAAAGCGAGACGAAGCAAGAUGAGGGUCGUAUCGGCUAUUUUAAUCGUUACAAUAAACGCUGUUACAAUUUUAGGAGCAGCUUAUCAAACGAACGAUGUAUCGAGUAAUUCAAUAGCAAGUUUAAAUAACACAAAAAAUGACAAGUGCAGUCAAAUGUAUGUCUGCCCUCCCAAUUUUCUUAGGAUAAACCAAAACUGCUACUACUUCAGCACUGAGGCAGUUCCUUGGCGAACAGCCUUCGAUGACUGUAUCAAAUUAAAAGGGACCCUUGCGAUGAUAAGAAACAUAAACCAGGAUAACAAUAUCAAAGGAUUGUUGAAAAGGGUGCCUCUAGCUAAAGACGAAAGAUGGAUAGGAGGUUUAUACGACUGGACCAAAAUGAACUGGAAAUGGGGUAAAAACGCAAAGGAAAUCAAGUAUUUAGGUUUCGAUGCGUCUGUAUCGCAAGAGAAAGAUCAGCUUCAGUGGAAAUGUAUCACACUGGAUCCAAUACUUGAUUACAGGUGGAACGCCCGAUCUUGCUUUGAAAACAAACAUUACAUUUGUCAAACAAGGAUAGCGAAGAUACCGAAGUCAGAAAGGAAGAAGUUCAUAAAGAAAUUCAACGCAAAUAAAAAUAACAAAAUGAAUGAAGUAUUGGCUCCCAAUCUAACCGAAGAUUUUCCAGAGGAACUGAAAACAAGCAGGAGAUACAAUUCCAAUCUCCAAGAUACUGCAUUCGCCAGACGAAAUGAAACUGUAGUCGACAGGCGUAGAGGAAAGAAGAAUGGAGGCAAAAAGAAACGAAAAAAUAAAAGAAAUCUUCGAUGUCCAGUCUACUAUAAUGGAACGAGAUACGAAAUGCCAGUAACAAAGUUCGGCAGAAAGAAAAGAAAAAACAUAAAGUCAAUUGAAAGCAAUAGCGCUUCUGCAGAAAACUUAAAAUCCGUUAUUUAUUACGAGAAGUUACCGAACGGACAGUCGGAACCCAGAGUUCUUACGGAAGAACUUUUUAUCAGUUAAAUGAGUGCUUGUGAUUAUCAUUUAUUGUUUUUAUACAUACAUAGACAGUUCGUUCCGAACAAGGACCUUUGUCAACAUUAACCAUGUGUGAUUCGUAUUAACAGUUCAUUUAAGUUAUUUCAUAGUUUUUAUAAGCUUAUCCCUUUCAUAAAAUCAUUAAAGUAUUAUUUAAUUAUAUUUUUAGUGUUUAUUUAUUGAUCAGACAUUAAAUACCAAAUGCUCCAAAAACUUUAUUAAAACCUCUAGUCACAAAAGUGAGAGAGGCUUAAAAUUAUUAAUUAUUAUAGGUUGUACAAAUUUUAAAUUUAAAGGUUUUAUUAACAAAAUAGUUAUAGACAUUUACAUGCUUUAGGAUACUUGGAUCAUUAUUUUUAGCCUCAAUAAGUAUUUGGUUUUACCUGAUCAAAAAUAGAUUAUUUAUUUAAGAGAGUGCUGUAAGAACAUGAUAAAUAUUUUAUAU